GUUUGGGAUAACUCCGCGAAAGCGGGGCUAAUACCGAAUAAGACCACGGGGACCAAAGUCCCUGAGGUAAAAGGUGGCCUCUAUUUAUAAGCUACCACUUGAGGAUGAGCCCGCGGCCCAUUAGCUAGUUGGCAGGGUAACGGCCUACCAAGGCGAUGAUGGGUAGCUGGUCUGAGAGGACGAUCAGCCACACUGGAACUGAGACACGGUCCAGACUCCUACGGGAGGCAGCAGUGGGGAAUAUUGCGCAAUGGGCGAAAGCCUGACGCAGCAACGCCGCGUGGGGGAUGAAGGUUCUCGGAUUGUAAACCCCGUUUCGACCGGAACGAAUCUCCUCUUGGUGAACAAUCAGGAGGAUCGACGGUACCGGGAGAAGAAGCCACGGCUAACUCUGUGCCAGCAGCCGCGGUAAGACAGAGGUGGCGAGCGUUGUUCGGAUUUAUUGGGCGUAAAGCGUACGCAGGCGGUUUGGUAAGUCAGAGGUGAAAGACCACAGCUUAACUGUGGCACUGCCUUUGAUACUGCCUUUCUAGAGUGCAUGAGGGGGUAAGCGGAAUUCCGAGUGUAGAGGUGAAAUUCGUAGAUAUUCGGAGGAACACCGGUGGCGAAGGCGGCUUCCUGGCAUGUAACUGACGCUCAUGUACG
rnacentral:rRNA from 1 species